rnacentral:rRNA from 1 species
AUACGGAGGGGGUUAGCGUUGUUCGGAAUUACUGGGCGUAAAGCGUACGUAGGCGGAUUAGUAAGUUAGAGGUGAAAUCCCAGGGCUCAACCCUGGAACUGCCUUUAAUACUGCUAGUCUAGAGUUCGAGAGAGGUGAGUGGAAUUCCAAGUGUAGAGGUGAAAUUCGUAGAUAUUUGGAAGAACACCAGUGGCGAAAGCGGCCAACUGGCUCGUUUCUGACGCUAAGACGCGAAAGCGUGGGUAGCAAACAGGAUUAGAUACCCUGGUAGUCCACGCCGUAAACGAUGAGUGCUAGCCGUUUGUGAUUUAUCACAAGUGGUGCAGCUAACGCGUUAAGCACUCCGCCUGGGGAGUACGAUCGCAAGAUUAAAACUCAAAGGAAUUGACGGGGGCCCGCACAAGCGGUGGAGCAUGUGGUUUAAUUCGACGCAACGCGAAGAACCUUACCAGGUCUUGACAUCCUGAUUAUGGUCGUUAGAAAUAACUUCCUUCAGCUCGGCUGGAUCAGUGACAGGUGCU